GCGUCUCCGUUAAUGAUUUUAGGUGCUUGCAUUUGAAAGAUUUAACAUUGAGACGAGUGGCGAACUGGUGAGUAACACGUGGGUAACCUGCCCUUGAAGUAGGGGAUAACACUUGGAAACAGGUGCUAAUACCGUAUAACAACCAAAACCACCUGGUUUUGGUUUAAAAGACGGCUUCGGCUGUCACUUUAGGAUGGACCCGCGGCGUAUUAGCUUGUUGGUAAGGUAACGGCCUACCAAGGCGAUGAUACGUAGCCGACCUGAGAGGGUAAUCGGCCACAUUGGGACUGAGACACGGCCCAAACUCCUACGGGAGGCAGCAGUAGGGAAUCUUCCACAAUGGACGAAAGUCUGAUGGAGCAACGCCGCGUGAGUGAUGAAGGGUUUCGGCUCGUAAAACUCUGUUGUUGGAGAAGAACAGGUGUCAGAGUAACUGUUGACAUCUUGACGGUAUCCAACCAGAAAGCCACGGCUAACUACGUGCCAGCAGCCGCGGUAAUACGUAGGUGGCAAGCGUUGUCCGGAUUUAUUGGGCGUAAAGCGAGCGCAGGCGGUUUUUUAGGUCUGAUGUGAAAGCCUUCGGCUUAACCGGAGAAGUGCAUCGGAAACCGGGAGACUUGAGUGCAGAAGAGGACAGUGGAACUCCAUGUGUAGCGGUGAAAUGCGUAGAUAUAUGGAAGAACACCAGUGGCGAAGGCGGCUGUCUGGUCUGUAGCUGACGCUGAGGCUCGAAAGCAUGGGUAGCGAACAGGAUUAGAUACCCUGGUAGUCCAUGCCGUAAACGAUGAGUGCUAAGUGUUGGAGGGUUUCCGCCCUUCAGUGCUGCAGCUAACGCAUUAAGCACUCCGCCUGGGGAGUACGAC
rnacentral:rRNA from 1 species